rnacentral:rRNA from 1 species
GACGAACGCUGGCGGCGUGCUUACCCCAUGCAGUUCGACCGAAAGGCCCCUCCUUUGGUGGGUUGCUGAGUUGCCAAACGGGGAAGUAAAACUUAGUUAACCGGCCCUGACCUUUGGAUUAACUUCAGGAAACGGGGCCUAUUCCCGGAAAGAGGCUCCUCCUGCAUGGUGGGGUUGGAAAGGUUUCGGCGGUUGGGGAUGGACUCGCGGCUUAUCAGCUUGUUGGUGGGGUAGUGGCUUACCAAGGCUUUGACGGGUAGCCGGCCUGAGAGGGUGACCGGCCACAUUGGGACUGAGAUACGGCCCAGACUCCUACGGGAGGCAGCAGUGGGGAAUAUUGCACAAUGGGCGGAAGCCUGAUGCAGCAACGCCGCGUGCGGGAUGACGGCCUUCGGGUUGUAAACCGCUUUCGCCUGUGACGAAGCGUGAGUGACGGUAAUGGGUAAAGAAGCACCGGCUAACUACGUG